AAAUUGAGCAGCAAAUUAAUAUGAAAUUUUUUAUCAAAUUGAAAAUCUCUGCAAUGGAUUGUCAUGAUUUGUUGAAGGAGAUCUAUGAGGAUGAUUGUGUGGCACAUAAGAUUUUGAGUAGCACCAAAAACUGGACUGACUUUAUUAUUGAUUCUUUUUUGAUCCAGAGUAUUAUCUUGGCUGAUGGUUCCUUAUGGUCAGGCUAUCAACCAAAAGUACUACACUGAAUUUUUCACUAAGCUCCAGGAAAGAACGAAAAAAAAAGGCUGGACUUCUGGGAAAAUAAUGGAUGGAUUAUUCUCCAUUAGAACAAUGUUUCAGUGCACAAAGCAGUUUUUAGUGGCAAAAUGCAUACCAGAUGUGUGAUAAAGGGGCAUGCUUUUCAUCUGCAGAUAGUCAAAUCAAACACAGUGGAUUUGUUUAAAAGCCUAACAGAAACAAACUUGCAUAUUUGUUUUGAAUAGUGGAAACAAUGAAUGCAGCAAUGCAUAGAUAGAAAAUGGCAUUAAAGUUAAAAUGUACAAUAUUUUAAUAAAGUUCUAUUAAUAGCACUUAUUCAGUUAUUUAAUAGACACACCUCAUUCUGCUUAACCACUGGAACUGAAGAUGGCUCUGUACAGCUAAAAAUGCUACUCUUAUUGAUUUUGUUUAUUGUUAUCAAUAGCAGCAAAUAUUAAGAUUUAUUAUUUUUAUUGUCAAUUAAAUGAUAUUUUGCCAAUAGAGCUUGUUUUUUGGAUAUGUGUAUUCAAAUAAAAAUGGAAAUAGCCUUUAAUCUCAAAAAUUUACUAUAAUAAAUGAUAAUUACAGUAUUUACUGAUCAAAUUUUCUUUUGCAUAAUUUCUCCAUAUGACUUAGAAGGGAAAUAAAGGAAAAAUGUUUAUAUUUUUUCAUCUUGAUUAUGGC
rnacentral:lncRNA from 1 species